rnacentral:rRNA from 1 species
UACGGAGGAGGCAAGCGUUAUCCGGAAUUAUUGGGCGUAAAGCGUCCGCAGGUGGCACUUCAAGUCUGUCGUCAAAGACUGGGGCUUAACCCUGGAAAGGCGGUGGAAACUGAAGCGCUAGAGUGCGGUAGGGGUAGAGGGAAUUCCCGGUGUAGCGGUGAAAUGCGUAGAGAUCGGGAAGAACAUCGGUGGCGAAAGCGCUCUACUGGACCGCAACUGACACUCAGGGACGAAAGCUAGGGGAGCGAAUGGGAUUAAGAAAC